rnacentral:rRNA from 1 species
CCGACUGCUAUUUGGGUGAGAAUAAGCCAUGCGAGUUGAAUGGGAUACCUAAAUUUCCCAUAGCAAACUGCUCAGUAACACAUGAUCAACUUACCCUAUAGAGAAAAAUAACCUCGGGAAACUGAGGAUAAUGUUUCAUAAUUGAAUUGGCUUGGAAAAGUUUUUCAAUGAAAAGGAUAAAAAAAAUGGUUUUUAUCUGCUAUAGGAUAGGAUCGUGUUCGAUUAUGGUUGUUGGUGAGAUAAUGGCUCACCAAGCCGAUAAUCGAUAGGGGCCGUGAGAGCGGGAGCCCCGAGAUGGGUACUGAGACAACGACCCAGGCCUUACGAGGCGCAGCAGGCGCGGAACCUCCGCAAUACACGAAAGUGUGACGGGGUUACCCAAAGUGUUCAAUAGAACUGUGGUAGGUGAGUAAUGUCCCCUACUAGAAAGGAGAGGGCAAGGCUGGUGCCAGCCGCCGCGGUAAAACCAGCUCUUCGAGAGGUCGGGAUAAUUAUUGGGCUUAAAGUGUCCGUAGCCGGUUUAGUAAGUUCCUGGUAAAAUCGGGUAGCUUAACUAUCUGCAUGCUAGGAAUACUGCUAUACUAGAGGGCGGGAGAGGUCUGAGGUACUACAGGGGUAGGGGUGAAAUCUUAUAAUCCUUGUAGGACCACCAGUGGCGAAGGCGUCAGACUGGAACGCGCCUGACGGUGAGGGACGAAAGCCAGGGGAGCGAACCGGAUUAGAUACCCGGGUAGUCCUGGCCGUAAACGAUGCAUACUAGGUGAUGGUACGGCCAUGAGCCGUAUCAGUGCCGUAGGGAAACCGUUAAGUGUGCCGCCUGGGAAGUACGGUCGCAAGGCUAAAACUUAAAGGAAUUGG